GGGUAGAGCUCGGUGGCAGAGCGCGUGCUUAGCACGCACCAGGUCCUGGGUUCAAUCCCCGGUACGCCA
rnacentral:tRNA from 1 species